AACAACGGUUCUCGGCAUUCACUGAGGUUCACUUAGGUUUUAACAUUUAAUCAAGUACCAACUUUUCAACUCCUACGGUGAUCGUUGUAUUCUGCAUAAAAAUCAAAAGCAUUAUGAGAGCGUUGGCGUUAUUCGGAGUUUUUGUACUCAUACUAUCUACAACUACAACUCAAACCGAAGCAUUGCGUUGUUAUACGUGUGCAGGCGGUAGUGACAGCGAUUGCGCAAUGUUAGCAUCCUCGGUAAGAAUUGAAGAAAACUGCAUGUUCUCUUGUGUAAAAUUCUGGUCGGACAACCACGUCGACCGAACAUGUGCGCCUGAGCAAACGUGCCAUAGCGAGCUCAGCAAAGAGUGUCGCGUUUGUAAUGAGGACCUCUGCAAUGCGGCGGCACUCAGUGUUUUCUACACACCAGGCCUUCUCCUGACAGGACUCAUUCUGGCGCAACAAGUGGCAGCUCUCUUUCGAAGUGUGUAAUUCAAUUUUCGCUGGCAGCGUUUUUCGAAAAUGACAAAUUUUAAUAAAAGCUAUUCGAUAUUCUA